rnacentral:rRNA from 1 species
GACGGAGGGUGCUAGCGUUGUUCGGAAUUACUGGGCGUAAAGGGCGCGUAGGCGGCCGCUUGCGUCAGAUGUGAAAGCCCGGGGCUCAACCCCGGAACGGCAUCCGAUACGGGGCGGCUGGAGACCGGGAGAGGAGGGUGGAAUAGCCAGUGUAGAGGUGAAAUUCGUAGAUAUUGGCUGGAACACCGGUGGCGAAAGCGGCUCUCUGGCCCGGUUCUGACGCUGAGGCGCGAAAGCGUGGGGAGCAAACAGG